rnacentral:snRNA from 1 species
GUGCUCGCUUCGGCAGCACAUAUACUAAAAUUGGAACGAUACAGAGAAGAUUAGCAUGGCCCCUGUGCAAGAAUGUGUAUGUACCAUUUGUUAGAGUAUAAUAAAAAAU